AUUUAUUUAGUUUAUUAAAACAUUACAUUUUCAUUGUAAAAUUGGUUAUUUACCAAUAAAUA
rnacentral:tRNA from 1 species